CAUAUGUUACUCCAAAUCGAGCUACCAGCAAACCCGCAGCUUGUUUCCUUUAAAGUUCCAGUACCCCAUUUAGAGGCGCAACAGAAAACUUUUAACUCUUUAUUUUGCGUACCCUGUACCCGCCUUCAACAACAAACGUCACUUGCACUACAAGUCUAAUUGACUUUAAACAAAUAUAGGCUUUUGUCCCCCAACCACUAGUCAUCAUCUCACUCUGACACCGUGGUUGUACAUUUCGUUCAAGAAAGAAAAUAACACAGCCAUACUGCCAAUGUACACCUACAUAGGAGACCCUCAGUAUCAAGCAAUAGUUUCCAAGCUAUCGCUUUAAACUUAGCAAGUUAUGAUUGCGAUCAUUACCACCAUGCUCGAUAGAUUUACUUUCGGCGUCCAAUUAUUUACUUGUGAGGACAACGUAUGACCUGUCUGAAUGGAUAAGUUAUCAGACAUAAGUAAAAAGCGAUAUAUCCUAGGCUACUGAAACUCCAGCGAUCGGAGACAUGAACGCAAAGGAACUCCGCAACUGCUGCUGCCCAAGCCUUCACUACACUGCACCGUGGCAAGCCUCUCCCCCAACUGCUUGGGUCACCUCUGCUUGGCGUUCCAGCUGUCGCGUCUUUUGAAGAUGCCAUUUGUGGCUAACAUUUUCCACCCCCGAGACACAGAGAAGAGCCGGAAAACUGAUGGGAGGUGGCUGGGGUCAAACAGGGCCUGCUGGUGAAAAUUCUUAUCCAGUUACUGCUUUCUUUUGGGUGUCAUUGGCAUUAAAUCCAUAGUCAGCAGGCAUCUUCUUCUAAUCUUUGUAUUGACUUCUCUGUGUGAGAUGUACAGAGCAGGUUGUCCAUUUCAUUGUUUUUUCCACCUCUGUUUGGCAAAUGCUUCUGUGUCUUGCAUAUUUAUGACAAACAUUCACAUAUCAAGGAAUACUAUAUUAUGUGUGUGUUUGUGUUUGUGUGUGUGGUGUGUGUGUGUGUGUGUGUGUGUGCAAAUAAUGCAAAGGUAUUGGGACAAUGCCACUAUUUUAGUGUUUUGGCUCUGUACUGGAUUUGAAAUAAAAACAAUGCAUAUCAGGUUAAA